rnacentral:rRNA from 1 species
UACGUAGGGCGCAAGCGUUGUCCGGAAUUAUUGGGCGUAAAGAGCUCGUAGGCGGCUUGUCACGUCGAUUGUGAAAGCCCGAGGCUUAACCUCGGGUCUGCAGUCGAUACGGGCUAGCUAGAGUGUGGUAGGGGAGAUCGGAAUUCCUGGUGUAGCGGUGAAAUGCGCAGAUAUCAGGAGGAACACCGGUGGCGAAGGCAGAUCUCUGGGCCGUAACUGACGCUGAGGAGCGAAAGCAUGGGGAGCGAACAGG